ACAGAGCACAUCCCUGCCUUGCUGCGAAUGAUCCAAAGUUAGGAAAUCUUCCAGCCCAACGGAAUGCAGUACCGAGCAGAGGAGAGAAUCAACUGGGAAACUAGCACAGCAAGCUUCGUUCUUGUUCUCAGGGUUCGUCAUUAAAGAAAAACAGGUACAAUCACGUAGGGGGUGCCAGGCCAUCGUAGGACGGCGGCCAUCUCCGAAGAGGCGUGUGCACACACACGUUAGCAGGUCAGACGGCAUUUCCCCAUGGACUUCCGCACAAGUUCUGGGCUGCUUCAUCAUCUUUUCAGAAGGAUCUGUAAUUGGCACUGAUUCUUAAGCUUGAACAUAAAGUUUUCCAGUCCCUAAAGCCUCUCUGUCAAGUACUUAAUGACCUGUAAAACACUUAAAUAAACCAAAA
rnacentral:lncRNA from 1 species